UCCCGCUAGUGGAGUUGUUAUAUCAUACGUUCAAAAUGGUGGCUGCACUUGAUAUCCAGCAGAAGCAAGAACGAGACAGUGAGGAACAUCCACAAUCGAUUGCAGAAAGUGUAUCGGAAUGAUGCUGUCGAUCGCAGCACUGUUGGUCGUUGGGCUAAACGAUUGUUUGGGAAGAGUGAAGUGCAGGUCCUGAGUUGUAUACAAGCAGUUGUUAAUAGGUGGAAAACAAAGCAGCAAAUCUGAUGUGUUUCCAGAAAUAAUGGCUACUGCAGUGGGUCUCUGUAAGAAGCAUGAUCUGUCAGCUGUGAGAUCCAGUGAAACAAUCAGCUGUAUGUAAGAGCCUCUUUGUCUGCUGGAAGCCAUACUGUGUAGUCACUAAAAAUUGCAUAUCGUGUACACAUGACAAAUUUUAACAUAAUUUCAAAAUUAAGUUUGCAGCUGUGUAUAUGCCACCAGCAGCAAUGCAGUUCAUGUUCAUGAAAAGGUUGCUGACCCCAUCCUACUCCAUCUCUGGAGACUGGUACGUUGCAUAAAUGAGCUGAUGGCUGUUCACAUGUUAAUACUGCUAGCCAUUAACUGUAUGUAACUAACUAGAUUAAAGUAUUACCCCAUUGGAGAAA